GGGAAAGUUACUGAGUUAUAAACUCAAGGAAACAAUAAAUAUACAAGUAACUGAUAAAAAAAAAGCCAUACACUGUUCGUGUAAUUUUGUUAUGGCUAAGACGAAAAGUGUAGCAUCAACUUAAAAAGGUGGAUUUCCAUUGAAUUUGGUGAUACAUUGGCCAUCUGGAAAGUCCUUGGAAUCCCCCAAAAUCAACUGCCACUUCUUCCAGCUCUUCCGGAGGGAUCCCGAGGCGUUCCUAAGCCAGCCGAGAGACAUACUCUCUCCAGCGUGUCCUGACAUGCCCGGAACACCUCACCAGGGAGGCGACCAGGAGGUAUCCGGAUCAGAUGCCCCAGCCACCUCAUCUGGCUCCUCUCAAUGGAGGACUAGCGGCUCGACACCGAGCCCCUCCUGGAUGGCCGAGCUUCUCACCAAACCUCUAAUGGAGAGCCUGGACACCAUACGGAGGAAACUAAUUUCAGCCGCUUGUAUCCGGGUUCUUGUUCUUUCGGUCCCGACCCAAAGCUCGUGCCCAUAGGGGAAGGUAGGAACGUAGAUGGACUGGUAAAUUGAGAGCUUCGCCUUUCGACUUAGCUCCCUCCUCACCACAACGGACAGAUACAAAUUCCGCAUCGCCGCAGACGCUGCACCGAUCCGUCUGUUGAUCUCCCGCUCCAUUCUUCCCUCCCUCGUGAACAAGACCCCGAGAUACUUGAACUCCUCCGCUUGGAGCAGGAUCUCAUUCCCCGACCCGGAGAGGGCAGGCCACCCUUUUCCGGCUGAGGACCAUAGUCUCGGAUUUUGCAGGUAAGUAUUAGUCGUUAGAUAAUGUGCUAUUUCUACAGUUCUUGAUAUAGCUAUGUGGCGUGGAGGUACAAUUAGUUAAAUCGCCGAAAAAAUGGCUUUUUGCUCCGAGGGAAGCAGUAAUGCUUUGCUGUUGUUAGCUUACAAUGCUAACUUUUGGGAUAAAGCUGUGUAGCCAUCUACAUAGUCUGUCGAAUCCAUCAAAAAUCAACUGGCACACCUUUGUUUACGUUGAGGUAAGCAAUGUACUCAAGUUGUCCAUUAAAUAAUAGAUAAAUCUAUGUGGUUGUCCAAAUAGUCUGUCAUUCGAAAGCAAUGUACUUGUAUUGGCUGUUACAUAAUGUGAUGCUGUUUUUAGCUAACAAUGCUAACACUCUAGAUAAAGAUAUGUGGCUGUCGAAAUAGUAUGUUCGAUGUGUCAAAGGUCACUUUGGAUUAAAGUGUGUGGCCGUUAGUCCGUGGAAUCCUUCAAAAAUCAACCAGCGCUCCAAUAUUUACAUUUAAUUUUUAAAAUGUUAACCUUAAUGAUUAAUUUACUCUCCGCGUACUACCAAAAUGAGCAACUACAAAACAUUGAACCAUAGUAGCACUAAGCAUUUACCAAAAAUGAGACAGACCUCCUUCCUAAAAAGCAUAUUUAAUGUCACUGUAAGCCACUGUAACAUUAUGCACAGUUACCAUAAUAUCUGGCCUACAAGCCCAACUUUUUUCCACAAGCUUUCUACCCUGCGGUUUAUGUGGUGACGCGGCGCUAGUGUUGGCGCGGCGCUAGCAUUAAACUCUCUCUGUACUGAGGCUUAUAACCAGGUACGCUCUGUAGGCGGGGAAUUACGAUACAUUAACAAAAACUGUACAAAUGUAUCGCUCGUGUAAAUAGAUAACUCUAGCUAAAUGUUGAAAAAUAAACAUUUCUUAGUCUAAAUGCAAAUAUAUUAUUCUGAGGCAGUGAUGCUUUCACUUAACACUAGAGGCCGCCAAUUCACCACACUUUCGUAAUCAUUGUUGAAGAAGAGUAUGCUAUUGUUAGCUCAAAAGGCUAACGUCGUUAAUAAAGUCCGUAGACUUCUUCCAGUAUUGAACACGUAAAAUAAAAGUUUAGACUUGCUAAAAUGUGAUAUUUUUAUUUCCACUAUUUCCUAGCGAACAUGAAGUCAAUUUGCCUCCCAGAACGCAUCGUGUUGGGAUUAUUGCAGAGUCCCCAAUAAAAAAAUAGCUCAGCAUGACUCGUGGUUUUCUGCUGCUACACAAUACGCUAUUAUAAUAAUUAUUAUUAUUAUUUUUAACAUAAACAAGUGAACUUAGAAAGCCUUUGCCCCCACGAUGCAUCGCCGCAGCUCAGGAGGCGAGGAUAAGAAUAAUCCAUAAUGUUGUAUCUAGGCCAAGCAAUCAACACGGCGUAAAAUGUGGAGAUGUUGCUCUAUCUCCUCACGUUUACGUCUUCGACAUUCACCGUACGUGUUUAUCGCUGAUGGGCUCCGUCAUGAAUUAAUAACUCUGUGAAUAAUACACGAGCUUCCUUUUAAUGGGUUGCGAGCGUGUGUUUGCCAUUGUUGUGUGCUUAAUGCUUGCCUGUAACUUAUUAUCGUGCAUCACUUUUGGUUUCUUCUUCUUUUUCUACUACAAAUAAAAUUCCGAUUCAAUCUGAAUGCUUUCCCCCCCAAUAAGAAAUAAUAAAAAUGUAUAUUGAAGAAACUAGCCAUUGCAAAACAUUUUAACAUGGCAGGGGAUAUUUGAACACUCUUAACUGUCAGGUAGAUUUAAAUAUAAAUUAAUUACUGAUAGUAACAUUGACAUAGUGAUGGAUGUGUAAAAAUAAGUCAA